ACGCAUACGUCCUGAGGGAGAAAGUGGGGGAUCUUCGGACCUCACGCUAUCAGAUGAGCCUAGGUCGGAUUAGCUAGUUGGUGGGGUAAAGGCCUACCAAGGCGACGAUCCGUAACUGGUCUGAGAGGAUGAUCAGUCACACUGGAACUGAGACACGGUCCAGACUCCUACGGGAGGCAGCAGUGGGGAAUAUUGGACAAUGGGCGAAAGCCUGAUCCAGCCAUGCCGCGUGUGUGAAGAAGGUCUUCGGAUUGUAAAGCACUUUAAGUUGGGAGGAAGGGCAGUAAGUUAAUACCUUGCUGUUUUGACGUUACCAACAGAAUAAGCACCGGCUAACUUCGUGCCAGCAGCCGCGGUAAUACGAAGGGUGCAAGCGUUAAUCGGAAUUACUGGGCGUAAAGCGCGCGUAGGUGGUUCAGCAAGUUGGAUGUGAAAUCCCCGGGCUCAACCUGGGAACUGCAUCCAAAACUACUGAGCUAGAGUACGGUAGAGGGUGGUGGAAUUUCCUGUGUAGCGGUGAAAUGCGUAGAUAUAGGAAGGAACACCAGUGGCGAAGGCGACCACCUGGACUGAUACUGACACUGAGGUGCGAAAGCGUGGGGAGCAAACAGGAUUAGAUANCCUGGUAGUCCACGCCGUAAACGAUGCCGACUAGCCGUUGGGAUCCUUGAGAUCUUAGUGGCGCAGCUAAC
rnacentral:rRNA from 1 species